UCUGCCACCACCAACCCGCAGGGUCAGGGGCCCUGAGUGGCGAGUUGAACCAUGACUGGAUGGCCCUGCCCAGCUGUGGUGCAGUCCCCAAAUGCCUGACUGCCCUUGCUUCUUGGGUUGGGCUUGCGGAUGGCUUCCUGGGCACGCAAGGGGUUGGGGCCAGGUGCAGCAGGGACUCCUCCAGGCCGUUCCCCAGCCAUAUUGUUUGCGGCCAUCGUACCCUGCAAUCAGCCUCGCGGAGUAAAUGGAGCCUCCUACCCCCGUCUUCCAGCUGAGGUAACUGAGGCCCGGAACAGAAGGUGCAGGCCAGGAACAGAAGGUGCAGGCCAGAGCCUCUCCCCCACGGGCCCCGGGGGGCUCCGCCCAGGAUGCCGAGCCAGGGUUGGAGGGAGUAGGGGACAGAGGGUGCGGGGACGGCGCAGCGGAGGCAGUGGGGAGGCGGCGGCGUCCCGCACUGUCUCACCGCAGGACCGACCUCGGCGCUUAUCUGCUCGGGCAGCUUCCGCCCCCCACCCCAGCCCCCGCCGCAGCCCGGGCCCCCGCCCCCGCCUCCGGAGGGCCGGCCCGAGGGCCCCUCCCCCGGCGCCCGCCCCCAGGGAGCGCCGAGCUAGCAGGGCGCUGCCCGGCCGAGCGGAGAGGGGCCCGGCCCCCAGAUGAGGCGCCGGAAGUGAUCAAUAACCCCGGGGGGCGGGGGCGCCUCCUGCCUCCAGCCCGCCGCGCCAGGCCGAGCGGGGGUCCCCUGGGCAAAGCUGGGAGAGAGGCUGCGAGGGAAGAGGAGCGGGGUCCCCUAAAGGCCGGAAAGCAGGAGGAGAGGCGGGGUCGGUCUGCACCGGGUUCGGAGGGACACGAGCCCACCCCCCCUCCCAACACACACGCACAAGUGCACACGCACACACUAGCAACGCCCAUGGGCGUCCCUGGCACAGAUGUGGGAGGGAAGAGAGAAGUGGAGACACCUUAGAGAAAGUGAAAAGCAAGCCGCAAACGGGAGCAGACGCCCGCCACGUGCAACUGGCAAAGGUUAAGCAUCAAAAAUACAUAAAGAACUCUUGCAAAUCCAUAGGGGGGAAAAACACAAAAUAUCCGGCAGAAAAUUUGAUAAACGACGUGAAAAGGCAUUUUAAAGAAGAGGAAGCACAUGUGUUCAAGUGAACAUCUUAAGAGAUGCUCAAGUUCAUUGGUAGUGAAGGAACAACAGCGACGACCACGGUGGGAUGCUAUUUUACAGCACUGGAAGGGCAACAAUUAAGCCUGACAGCACCCAGUGUUGGAGAAGAGGUGGAGCCGCACAAUCUCCCGUGCAUCGCUAGCCAGCAACUCUGUGUAACCACUGGAGAAGACAAUCUGGCCUUAUCUUAUAAGGCGGAGACGCAGCAGAUCCCCAACCCCCAGGCAUAAAAUCAAGAGAGACCUUGGCUUGUGCUCCAAGAGACCUGGGCGGGAACGUUCCAAGAUACACUGUUCUUAAUAGCAAAACUCUGGGAGUAACCCAAGUGAACACUAAGGAGAGCGGGUAAAUAAAUUACAGUGGAUACAUCCACACAGCGA